rnacentral:lncRNA from 1 species
GGAAGCCACCAAUGGACUGGAAGGGGAAUCUGGAAGAUCCAUUGGUCCUGAGACUUCAACUCUGCAUGCUGUGAUUGCUUUGGCUCUGACCUCGAGGAAUGAAUGUUUUCUGACUUCUGCGUAAAGGCUAGAAGACAAAGAAGAGAGAAUGUGUGUUCUGUCAGCAGCUAAGAGCACAGAUCUGGUUACUGAUCAAGACUGAAGCGAGGCUGAGAAAAUGCAGAACUGAG